GAUUCUCAGCGUCCUCUCCGGUGGAGGACAGAAGGCAUCCCAGGGUCGCGGGAGAGCCAGCGCAAAGUGGAAGGCACCUUGUACGCUGUGAAGCGGAGAUGCAGAUGUUACCCUAACCAGAAGCCCACCCCGCCACAAAUACUGGAGCGCCCAGCAUGCGUGCGCCACCCGCUUCCCUGCAGAGGGCGCCGCGGGCCCGCCUCGCCGAGCGCGGGGUGAGAUCCCAGUAGCCCAGAGCAGCCCGCGGGGCAGGCCCGGGCUGCCGCGGACUCCUCUUGGUAAGCCUCCUGCGCCCAGAGCCUCCCCGCUGGAGCUCCACCCUCGCCCGGAGGCGGCUUGUUCACCCAGCGUGCGCCCAGGGGAGCGCCUGAGCCUGACGUGAUCCCAUUGCCCCCGAGACCCCAAGAGUGAUUGCAUUGGUUUUGCAAAAAAGGAAGGACGGAAGGGAGGGAGGGAGAUAAUACAUAAUAAUAUGUAGUUGUGAAAAAUUCAAAUAACGUGUAUUUAAAAAAUCAGUUCUUUCGGCCGGGAGCUGUGGUUCACGCCUGUAAUCCCAGCACUUUGGGAGGCCGAGGCGGACGGAUCAUGAGGUCAAGAGAUUGAGACCAUCCUGGCCAACAUGGUGAAACCCCGUCUGUACUAAAAAUACAAAAAUUAGCUGGGCAUGGUGGCAAGCGCCUGUAGUCCCAGCUGUCUGGGAGGCCGAGGCAGGAGAAUUACUUGAAUCCGGGAGGCGGAGGUUGGAGUGAGCCGAGAUUGCGCUACUGCACUCCAGCCCGGCAACAGAGCAAGACUCUGUCAUAAAUAAAUAAAUAAAUAAAUAAAUAAAUAAAUAAAUAAAAAUUAAAAAUCAGUCCUUUCUGCUGACUCCAAGUUUUAGAGCCUUACUCCUCUAAUGCAAAUUUUAAAAAUCUCUGAAUCUGCCUAUCAUCUAUAAAACCCCUGCUUACCUCUGUAAGCCCCCUACUUCAAGAUAGCCUGCCUUUUCUGCUGAACUAAUGUAUAUGUGCCCUGUAUUGAUUUCUGUCUUCGCCUGUAACUCCUGCCCUCCUGAAAUGUAUAAAACCAAACACAUGCGGCUGCCUCGGGACCACUUACUCAAGGCUUCUUGGGUUGUUUUCCGGGGGCGGAGGUUACUCAUACUGGCUUGACUAAGCCUCUCUUUCAGAUAUUUUACAGACUUUGAUUUUUCUGUUUACAGUAUUAAUCAAAAUGUUAACAUUGGUAACUUCUAGGGGUAGAAUUAUGAAUGAUUCUUGUUUCCUGAAUGUUCUACAACAUUCAGAAAUGGUGUAUUUGGGGUUGGGGGAGAAUUGUUACUAUUUUUAAAUCCCAUCUACUCUUGGGGCUGUCCUCAUUCUACAUAAACAGACUAAUUCCGGGUGGCAGCUCUGUCUUUUUAUCGUGCACGGAGAGAUUAAUCAUCUCCCACCUACACCAAGCAGCACUUUAGGUUCCCUGGGUAACAGAACUGAAGGUUUGUAUCUCAGUGACUAAUGAUUAUAAUGCCCUUGGCUACUUCCUGUAUUUUUACCAGCUCCAGGAGCAGAGAACGUUCCCUGCUGGCUUCUGGGAAAUAACAAACACAAUGGUGAUGCUAUCAAGUCUCUGUGAAUUUAAAAAAACCUUUACAAAGGGGCAUUCUUUCUGUCUUGUUUUUUUCUGUUUUGUUUUGUUUUUUGUUUUUGUUUUUUUGAGAUGGAGUCUUGCUUUGUUGCUCAGGCUGGAGUGCAGGAGCAUGAUCUCCGAUCUCGGCUAGGUGCAAACUCCUUCUCCCGGGUUCAAGCGAUUCUCCUGCCUCAGCCUCCGAAGUAGCUGGGACUACAGGCGCCCACCACAACGCCCAGCUAAUAAUGUUUCUAUUUUUAGUAGAGACAGGGUUUCGCCAUGUUAGCCAGGCUGGUCUCAAACUCCUGACCUCAAGCGACCUGCCCGCCCCGGCUUCCCAAAAUGCCGGAAUUACAGGCAUGAGCCACUGUGCCCGGCCGCAUUGUUUCUUUUUGAAUCUUCAAAAGCAAUUUUUAAAAUUUUCUUUGAUUUUUGAAGGCAGAAAACCCAAGUUCUGAUUUGAAGCUUGUUCUAAUCAACCUAGAGUCUUUUUGUCUUUGGGAGCUAUAUAGACAUUACAAGUCUCUUCCUUUCCUUCCCAGCAGAAAAGCCUUUGAUGCUGUAUUCUUAGCACAUGGAACCCUAAACCAAAGCCUGCACUGGGGCAUUUGUGAGAAGCGUGUGUGCAAAGCCUGAGAGACUCCCCUUUUGGGCAUGCUGCUGGGCAGGGGUGUUCUGGUUUGACUUUGUACAUGUAAGUGACUUAUUUUAAAUACAUGUAUUUUUUAAUCACAAUUUUAAAGGUAAAUUAAAAUGGUUAACAUUUUGGUAACAGAGGGAGGAAACAAACAAGAGCCCUGUGUAAGCCUUUCAUUCCCUGCGGAUCAACCAUUUCUAGUAAGUUCCUGUAGAGUAUCUACUUCAUCAGCCAGUAUGAUCAGCAGCAGGGAGCCAUUACUCCAGGGACAUUCUCAGACUUUAACAUUUCACCAAGUAAAAUUCCAAAACAACUUUAGGAAUUGGCAAUGGUAUGCCAGCUUUUGGUUUGUCGAAUGAAAUUAUUAGGAACCUGCCAUUUACUGGCACUACUCUUUUUACAAAAGAAAGACAUGUAGACCACAAGAAAUGGACAUGAUCUCAGAACAAAGGCUCUUAAAAAAGAAAUUCACCUUAUAGAAUAUUUUGUCAUAUUUUCCUUAAUUUUUCAUUUUUCCAAAAUGAAAAUAUUGUUACCAACUUGCAUUUUGCCCAUUUGCCUGGCUUAGUCACUACAACCCAGUGAUUAUAAUUGAAUCUUUAUUUGAUGGGACCUAGUCUUAACAUUUUAGGGCCAUGAUGCUGAGUAUCAGUGAACAGUAUCAAGAACAUUGAGGUGAGAAAUGUUAGAUAUUUGGCUGAAUUCAUACUAAUUCUGGGAUCUUAUACUAAUCCUGCAACCACACUUUCUAAUUUAGACAGGUAUACUACCAUUUACUUUAAUUUUAGAUGAGAUUGUUUUUGUUUCCGUUGAAUUUUACUGUACUUUCUAGGUAUUAUAAUUGAAGGUCUUUUUACUUGGAUUUUUGUCUGUUGAAGGCACUCUGCUAGUGACCACCCAAAGAACUGAGAAUUUUGAUAUCAUACUCUUUGGUCUAAAGUCUCUUCCAAAUUAUAAUCAUUGAAUUUCAAAAAAGCAGUGCUUUGAAGGUGGGUUGUACUAGCCAACAACUUAAAUGAGUUGAGGGGAAGCACAAUAAGAAUCAAUUGAAAUGAAAGGAGUACUAUAUACAAACAACUUUUUUUAACCUUUUCUAGAACUGAAGCAGAUACUAGGACAACAUUCAUCUUCCCAUGCUUAAAAGCAAUUAAGAAGGGCAUGCAGUUUGUAGGAGAGCUCUCCUGAUCUGUCAAUGCCUGCAACGUGUAGCUCAUAUCUCAACCUGCUGACAUUGUCCUGCCCGCAGGCCUGGUAGAAUAAACACAAGGAAGCUCCCUGGAUGAUGAGACAGGCAGGAGGUUUUCUGGGCACAGGCUCUACUGUAUUACAGAGUAGAAAUAACAACUUCAAUCUUAAACAUGACUUUCUUUCCAAACUUGAAAUUAGUUGGUGUUAAAGUAUUUCAACCAGGGAAAGAAAAACCCUUUAGCAGUUUUAUCUUGUCUUGAAAUGGAAAACUGAUCCAGGUCCUGGAUGUCUGGGGAAACAGCAUGCAUUUGCAGCCUCAGAUUUCUUGAACUGCGCUUCUUAAAGGACCUUCCAUCAGAAAGGACUCUGCAGAAGACUCACACAACAUUGGUGCUUCCGUAGGCUUCAUCCUUGACUCUGUUCCCUCAUUCUUUUCUAGGUCAGGCCAUCUCAAACUUGUGGCUGCAGCUGUCACUUAGAGUCGCACACCUCCUGAAUUGGUACCUCCAGCCCUGACUUCUCUUCAGUGCUCCAGACACAUGUAUUUCUCUGCUCGCCAAACAUCUUCCACACAACAAGCACUUUAAACUGAAAAUAUUCCAAAUCAAACUAAUCACAUUCUGCUUGCUAUCAGCAGCCUUCUUCACUCUCUGAUUCCUUUAUUUUGGUUAGUAGCAGUGUCAUUUACCAAACUGCUCCAGCCAAAAACCCUGGUGUCAGCCUAAACUCCACACUCUUCUUUCACCUCCAUUGUCUAAUAGUCACCAAAGUCUGUCCCCUCCUACCCUAGCAUAUCUCACCCUUCCAUUCUCUUGUUUCCAUCCCAUUGUCACUGCCCUAUUUCAGGCUCUCAUCACUUCUCACCUGGACUAGGGCAACUGCUUUCUUGUUUCCAUUAAAAAUUUUUAUUUAUAAUUGAUAAUAAGUAUACAUGUCUGUGGGUACAGUGUAAUGUUUCAAUACAUGUAUAUAUUAUGUAAUGAUCAAAUCAGAAUAGUUGUCCAUCACUUCAAGCCUUUAUCAUUUUUUUGUGAUAACUUUAAAGGUGUUUCCUAGGUAUCUUGCAAUGUACAAAGCAGUUAUUAUUGUUAUUAGCUAUAGUCACCCUACUAUGUACAGAAUACGAGAAAUUAGUUUUCCUAUCUAACUGUAACAUCCCCUCCGGAGCCUUUGGUCACCAUUGUUCUACCCUCUGCUUCUAUGAGAUCAGCUUUUAUAGAUUCCACAUGUGAGUGAGAUCAUUUGUCUUUCUGUGCUUGGCUUAUUUCACUUAACAUGAUGUCCUCCAGGUUCAUCCUCGCUGUUGCAAAUGACAGGAUUUUGUCCCUAUUUAUGACUGAAUAGUAUUGCAUAUAUAUGGAGAUAUAUAUAUAUAUAUCUCACAUUUUCUUUAUCCAUUCAUGCACUGAUGGAUACUUAGCUUGAUUUCAUCUCUUGGCUAUUGUGCUAAGCCCUUACUAUAGUGUUGCAGUGAACAUGGGAGUGCCAAUAUCUCUUUUGACUUAUUGAUUUCCAUUCCUUUGGAUAUAUAUCCAGUAGUGGAAUUGCUGAAUCAUACAGCAGUCCUAUUUUUAAUUUUUUGAGGAACUUCCGUAUUGUUUUCCAUAGUGUCUAUGCUAAUUUACAUUCCCACCAACAGCAUAUGAGUUCCCCUUUCUUCACAUCCUCAACAGUAAUUGUUAUUUUUUGUCUUUUUUUUUUUUUUUGCCAUUCUAACUGGGGUGCAGUGAUAUCUCAUUGUGGUUUUCAUUUGCAUUUCCCUAAUGAUUACUGAUGUUGAGCAUUUUUUCAUAUACAUAUAUAUAUAUAUAUAUAUGUAUGUAUGUCUUCUUUUGAGAAAUGUCUACUCAGGUCUUAUUCCCAUUUUCGAUUGGAUUAUAUGGGCUUUUUUUUUUCUUUUGCUAUUGAGUUGUUUGAAUUUCUUACAUAUUCUGUUUCUUUUUUCUUUCUUUUUUUUUUUUGAGAUGAAGUCUCACUCUUUUCACCCAGGCUGGAGUGCAGUGGUGUGAUCUUGGCUCACUGCAACCUCUGUCUCCUGGGUUCAAGCAAUUCUCCUACCUCAGCCUCCCAAGUAGCUGGGAUUACAGGUGCCCACCACCAUACCCACCUAGUUUUUGCAUUUUUAGUAGAGACGGGUUUUCACCACAUUGGGCAGGCUGGUCUCGAUCUCCUAACCUCAGGUGAUCCACCCACCUCGGCCUCCCAAAGUGCUAGAAUUGAAUUUCUUACAUAUUCUGAAUAUUAACCCAUUACACCAGUGCAUAGUUUGCAGACAUUUUUUUCCAAUUUUGUAGGUUGCCUCUUUGUUGAUGGUUUCCUUUGCUGUGCAUAAGCUUUACAGUUUAAUGUAAUCCCAUUUGUCUAUUUUUGCUUUUGUUGCCUGUGCUUUCGAGGUUUUUUCCAAAAAAUUCUUGCCCAGACCAAUGUCAUGAAGCAUUUCUCCUAUGUUGUACUCUAGUAGUUUUAUAGUUUUAGGUCUUCCGUUUACAUCUUCAUUCCAUUUUGAGUUGAUUUUUGUAUAUGGUGAGAAAUAGGUGUCUAGUUUCAUUCUUCUGCAUGUGGAUAUCCAGCUUCCCCAGCACCAUUUAUUGAAGAAACUGUCAUUUUGGGGUAACUGCUUUCUAACAGGUCUCUGGGGUUUGGUAUUACUGCGCCAGAACCCUUUCAUAUAGCUGUCAGAGAGAUGGCAGUGGAACAGCUCAGUUUAUAUCUCUCUGCUCUUUAAACCUAUCUGAUGAUUCUUCAUUGCCAGUAGGAUAAAGUCCAAACACCUUGGCUUGUCAUAUCAAGUCCUUUCCCAUCUGGUGCCCAUCAUCCCAGCUACCUCCUCUGAUACUCUCUACCAUGCAUCCUAUGAUUGCCUCCCAAUUUUACAUUCUCUUCAUCUUCCUGAUUAAAAUAGUGAUUGCUGAUUACAUGUCCUCUCUUUUGCAGUUAGAUGUGGCCAGGUGACAAAGUUCUGUACAGUGGAAUGUAAACAGAAGUAUCAUGUGAGAGUUUCCAAGAACUUUUUCAGGAGGGAGGAAACACAUGUCCUUUGCCCUCCCUUUUUGUUUGCUGCCUUCUCCAUCCUAUAGCCUGGAAUACAGACAUGAUGGCUACCAUCUUGGACUAUGAACAUGAGGAUCACACCCAAGGGAAGGAGAGGCAGCAAGCUGGAAGGUACUAUGGAGCAGAACUGCCACAGCCUGAGUACCUACCUCUGGAACUUUCUGUGAGAAAUGAAAUGGGCCCAACAGUUCCAUAAACAGUUGUUUUGGGAUAAACAUAGAAAUGGCCCCUAGCUUGAAAUUUGCAUUUGUUUUAUCUGAGUUCCCUCCUCAGGAAAGGACCUUCAGGCCUCUCAAAAAAGUAUCAAGAGAACUGACACCAGAUGCCUCCUUGCCCCUCCCUAGUUCCUGUUUUCUUAAACAUUGUUACAUAUCUUCCCUGCUAUGUAAGCCCCUAGAUUUAGUCAGUCAGGGAGAUGGAUUUGAGACUGAGCUCUCAUAACUUGGCUGCAGCACCCGAUUAAAGCCUUCUUCCUUGGCAAUACUUAUUGUCUCAGUGAUUGGCUUUCUGUGCGUCAGUACCUAGACUGAACCCCUGGUGUUUCCAUAACUUGGUCAAGCCACUGUUAUUCUGAGUAUCUGUCCCUUGCUGCUGUGCCUAAUCCUAAUUGACACAGAAUUUGGUACCAGAUCUGGGAUGCUACAGGUCACUCCAUGCUUAUGUUUUUCUUUCUUUAUGUUCAUAAGAAUUCAAGAAGCUAGCCAACCCCACUAUCUUUGAAUUAUUCACUCUUGCCAUGAAGAUUUAUUACCAUAGCCACUUGGCCUUCCAGCGUUUUGAUUUCCAUGGAUACUUUUUCUCCCAGGUGACUACAAGUGACAAUGUAUUUAUUUUGAGAUGGAUUUUCACUCUUCUUGCCCAGGCUGGAGUGCAAUGGUGCGAUCUUGGCUCACUGCAACUUCUGGCUCCUGGGUUCGAGAGAUUCUCCUGCCUCAGCCUCCUGAGUAGCUGGGAUUACAGGCAUCUGCAACCACUCCUGGCUAAUUUUUGUAUUUUUAGUAGAGACGGGGUUUCAGCAUGUUGGCCAGGCUGGUCUCAAAUUCCUGACCUCAGGUGAUCCACCCUCCUCGGCCUCCCAAAGUGCUGGGAUUACAGGCAUGAACCACCAUGCCUGGCCUACAAGUGAUAAUUUAAAUAACUGUUCUGCCACUGCAUACCACAGACUGGUAGGCCUUCCAAAGUAGAUCUGUUUGGCAGAAUCACAUCCAGAACCAUAGCUUCAAGGAAUUCUGGAAACGUGGCUUUAUUUCUAGAUCUGUAGAACAGGCAGAACACUGGGAACAGAUGUUGAGUGAGUCGAUCCAGAGUGUCUGGUAAACAUGUCUCAAUCCAGCCUCAUGAGAUAAGUCAUUCUUUGCCAGACUUGCCAAGAUGGUAAGGCUUCCUUUAAGUCAUUUCUGCAUUUCCUUCUGCCCUGAAUCUUAUCUUCCUCCCUCCCUCCUUUCUCUGCUUUGUGAGCUUAUGCUACUCUUUCAAUAUCCAAAUCCAACAUCAUCCUUAGCAAAGCAAAUCCAUGCUGGUUGCUGCUGGCUCUGAGUAGCACUUUGAACAAUCUUUGGUUAACAUUCUUAGAGGAAUCAUAUUUAUUGAUUACAGAUCUCUUUUUCCUGAUAAAAUGUGCCCUCCUUGAGAACAGGAAUAUAAGCAGCUGUCAUUGCAUCUGACCCUUUCUGCAUUUCUAUUUGUAUUCUCAGUCUGGCAAGGUGGAGUUGCUGAGGCAAUGUUUGUCGAACUCGUGAAUAUUGAUAAUGGCUCCAAAGCUGCCUCCUCUCUUAGACCAGAGGGUUAAGAGUAUGUAGACUCCGGCUAUGUGGUAGCUCAUGCCUCUAAUCUCACUGAAGGAGCCUCAUUGUCUGGGGUAAAUACCAGGGUCCUUGGUCUCACAGUCAAGGAAAUUGAGGUCACAGACACACACACAGAGUGAGAUUGGAGCAGGAGUUUAAUAGGCAAAAGGAAAGAACAGCUCUCUGUCACAGAGAGGGGUCCAGAGCAGGUUGUCAAGUUUUAGUAAAAAUGUCAGGGUUGGCCAGGUACGGUGGCUCACACCUGUAAUCUUAGCACUUUGGGAGGCUGAGGCGGGCAGAUCACGAGGUCAAGAGAUCGAGACCAUCCUGGCCAACAUGGUGAAACCCUGUCUCUACUAAAAAUACAAAAAUUAGCUGGGUGUGGUGGUGCGUACCUGUAGUCCCAGCUACUCGGAAGGCUGAGGCAGGAGAAUUGCUUGAACCUGGGAGGCGGAGGUUGCAGUGAGCCAAGAUCAUGCCACUGCACUCCAGCCUGGCGACAGAGCAACUCUCUCUUA
rnacentral:lncRNA from 1 species